AUUGAACGCUGGCGGCAGGCCUAACAAAUGCAAGUCGAGCGGAUGAAGGGAGCUUGCUCCUGGAUUCAGCGGCGGACGGGUGAGUAAUGCCUAGGAAUCUGCCUGGUAGUGGGGGAUAACGUCCGGAAACGGGCGCUAAUACCGCAUACGUCCUGAGGGAGAAAGUGGGGGAUCUUCGGACCUCACGCUAUCAGAUGAGCCUAGGUCGGAUUAGCUAGUUGGUGGGGUAAAGGCCUACCAAGGCGACGAUCCGUAACUGGUCUGAGAGGAUGAUCAGUCACACUGGAACUGAGACACGGUCCAGACUCCUACGGGAGGCAGCAGUGGGGAAUAUUGGACAAUGGGCGAAAGCCUGAUCCAGCCAUGCCGCGUGUGUGAAGAAGGUCUUCGGAUUGUAAAGCACUUUAAGUUGGGAGGAAGGGCAGUAAGUUAAUACCUUGCUGUUUUGACGUUACCAACAGAAUAAGCACCGGCUAACUUCGUG
rnacentral:rRNA from 1 species